rnacentral:rRNA from 1 species
UACGUAGGGCGCAAGCGUUGUCCGGAAUUAUUGGGCGUAAAGAGCUCGUAGGCGGUCUGUCACGUCUGCCGUGAAAACCCGAGGCUUAACCUCGUGGCUUGCGGUGGAUACGGGCAGACUAGAGGUAGGUAGGGGAGAACGGAAUUCCCGGUGUAGCGGUGAAAUGCGCGGAUAUCGGGAGGAACACCGGUGGCGAAGGCGGUUCUCUGGGCCUUACCUGACGCUGAGGAGCGAAAGCAUGGGGAGCGAACAGG